rnacentral:rRNA from 1 species
UACAGAGGGGGCAAGCGUUGUUCGGAAUUACUGGGCGUAAAGGGUGCGUAGGCGGUGCUACAAGUCGGGUGUGAAAUCCCUCAGCUUAACUGAGGAACUGCGCCCGAAACUGUAGUGCUGGAGUGAGGCAGGGGUGAGCGGAACUGAUGGUGGAGCGGUGAAAUGUGUUGAUAUCAUCAGGAACACCGGUGGCGAAGGCGGCUCACUGGGCCUUUACUGACGCUGAGGCACGAAAGCUAGGGGAGCAAACGGG